CCCACCGAGGAACGAGAGGAAGUGUAUGGACUGUUCACUCAACGAAACCUGUGCCAGUAACGCGACACUGAUGAGCCUCAACUGUCGCUCCAACUACAGCUACCGGAUGAUACUACAAACAAAGACUCAGUACCAGACAGGAUGUGCACGGACGGCACCAAGCAGUAAAGGAACCAGAGUUUCGCAUCUGAGGAGGAGUGAAAUUCUUAAAGAGCUUGAUCCCCGGCAUUGGAGUUGCCGAGGUGCGGGAUCAUGUGGAAAUCAACCGAUAUGCUCUGCUACGACGCAUCAACUUUGACAAAGACCCUGGGAACCGCCUUAGCAGGAGAACAGCAGGCCAUCAGAACGAUGGUGCUGCAGAACAGACUGACACUAGACCUGCUAACAGCAUCACAAGGAGGAGUUUGUAAGCGGAGACAUUUAUGAAGCUUUGCAGAAUUUGACCAUUCUGCAGAAAUAUGUCACUGACCACACACCUGGAGCAGCUGCAGCACAAGGCUGGCUAGACUGGCUGGACUGGCUGUUCGGCGGUUCAUGGCUGGCUGCUGUAGCAAAGCCGUUUGUCCUUCUAGGUCUCAUCAUGAUAGCACUGCUCAUAUUAGUGUUUUGUGUGUUGCCAUGUCUAAGAGUAAUGAUUUCAAAGAUGAUAACAACUACAAUGACUGCUUAUGUUGCCGUGCCUGAAGAAGAACAGCAUCCCGUUGCAAUUCUGUUAGAGGAGAACUUGUAAUAACUGCUAAUGAAUGACGUGGUGAUUAAAAAUGACUUGUCAGGUGAUCAUGAUAUGAUUAACACAUUAGUAGGUUAUGCAGGUUUUAAAUAUAAGGUUUGCAUCAUUUUAAAUAUAAGGUUUUCAUCCUUGUAUUUUUUGAAGUUUUCAUUUUACAUAUUAGGUUUUCAUCAUUUUUAAAUACAAAGUUUUCAUUUUAGUUUUCAUCCUUUUAUUUUUUGUAGUUUUCGUUUUAAAAUAUAAGGUUUUUAUCCUUUAUUUUUUGUAGUUUUAGUUUUAUUAUUUUUUCUUGUUUAUUCCACUUGUUAUUUCAUUUACUAUGAUUUUCAUUUACUAUGUUUUUCUUUUUAUUAUUUUCUUUUGUUUUAUUCUUUAGACCAAAUGACUUCCAUUUCUGCUAUGCUGACAUUUUGAAAAUUAAAAAAUUGCUAAAGAUGCUUAAUAAAUAACCUUCACAGACAAUUGUUGUAUACAUUUAAAAUAAGUUAAAACAGGAGGGAAUGUUACAGGAAAAAUGAUUCUAUGUUUCUUUACCUUCUUUUAAAUGUACAAAGAUGCCCUUUUGUCUAUGGUUAGAUUAGUUUAGAAUUAUCCUUUUAGACUUUCUCAGCAAAGACAUACUGUUUUGGGACAUAUUGUUUUAGAUUGUUUUAUCUCUCACAGCUUUCUCCCAGCUCUCUGCUGACGAGACUAGCGCCACAUAUGGAGUUGUUAAUUUUAUCUGUUUUGUAUUUUCUUAUCCUGUUCUCACUGUGUUUCCUAUAAAGAGUGCCAAGCCUCUGUACACGACGUGAGUUGUUCUGAACAGCUCACCGGUGCGCACGUUAAAGCAUAAAAAG
ensembl:lncRNA